rnacentral:rRNA from 1 species
CCUACGGGUGGCAGCAGUGAGGAAUAUUGGUCAAUGGCCGGAAGGCUGAACCAGCCAAGCCGCGUGAGGGAGGAAGGCGCAGAGCGUCGCAGACCUCUUUUGCCGGGGGACAAAAGGCCGGACUCGUCCGGUCCUGAGGGUACCCGGAGAAAAAGCAUCGGCUAACUCCGUGCCAGCAGCCGCGGUAAUACGGAGGAUGCGAGCGUUAUCCGGAUUCAUUGGGUUUAAAGGGUGCGUAGGUUGUUUUAUAAGUUAGCGGUGAAAUACCGAUGCUCAACAUCGGGGCUGCCGCUGAUACUGUAGGACUAGAGAUCGGAUGCAGCAGGCGGAAUGUGUAGUGUAGCGGUGAAAUGCAUAGAUAUUACACAGAACACCGAUUGCGAAGGCAGCUUGCUAGGCCGGAUCUGACACUGAUGCACGAAAGCGUGGGGAUCGAACAGGAUUAGAUACCCCAGUAGUC